AGUGAACGCUGGCGGUAGGCCUAACACAUGCAAGUCGAACGGCAGCACAGGAGAGCUUGCUCUCUAGGUGGCGAGUGGCGGACGGGUGUGGAAUACAUCUGAAUCUGCCCAGUCGCGGGGGAUAACGUAGGGAAACUUACGCUAAUACCGCAUACGACCUUCGGGUGAAAGAGGGGGAUCGCAAGACCUCUCUCGAUUGGAUUAGCCGAUGUCGGAUUAGCUAGUUAGCGGGGUAAUGGCCCACCAAGGCGACGAUCCGUAGCUGGUCUGAGAGGAUGAUCAGCCACACUGGAACUGAGACACGGUCCAGACUCCUACGGGAGGCAGCAGUGGGGAAUAUUGGACAAUGGGCGCAAGCCUGAUCCAGCCAUACCGCGUGGGUGAAGAAGGCCUUCGGGUUGUAAAGCCCUUUUGUUGGGAAAGAAAUCUUUCAGGCUAAUACCCUGAGAGGAUGACGGUACCCAAAGAAUAAGCACCGGCUAACUUCGUG
rnacentral:rRNA from 1 species